UACGGAGGGUGCAAGCGUUAUCCGGAUUCACUGGGUUUAAAGGGUGCGUAGGUGGGCUGGUAAGUCAGUGGUGAAAUCUCCAGGCUUAACUUGGAAACUGCCAUUGAUACUAUCAGUCUUGAAUACCGUGGAGGUCAGCGGAAUAUGUCAUGUAACGGUGAAAUGCUUAGAUAUGACAUAGAACACCAAUUGCGAAGGCAGCUGGCUACACGAAUAUUGACACUGAUGCACGAAAGCGCGGGGAUCAAACAGG
rnacentral:rRNA from 1 species